rnacentral:tRNA from 1 species
GCCGCAUUGGCGUAGUGGUAUGCGCGCCCCACUUGUACCGUAAUGGUGAUGGGGAGGUCACUCGUUCGACCCGGGUAUGUGGCA